GUACACAAAAAUGCACAUACUGUGAGCUCGAUGAGUAGGGCGGGACACGUGGUAUCCUGUCUGAAUAUGGGGGGACCAUCCUCCAAGGCUAAAUACUCCUGACUGACCGAUAGUGAACCAGUACCGUGAGGGAAAGGCGAAAAGAACCCCGGCGAGGGGAGUGAAAAAGAACCUGAAACCGUGUACGUACAAGCAGUGGGAGCCUCUUAAUGGGGUGACUGCGUACCUUUUGUAUAAUGGGUCAGCGACUUAUAUUCUGUAGCAAGGUUAACCGAAUAGGGGAGCCGAAGGGAAACCGAGUCUUAACUGGGCGUUAAGUUGCAGGGUAUAGACCCGAAACCCGGUGAUCUAGCCAUGGGCAGGUUGAAGGUUGGGUAACACUAACUGGAGGACCGAACCGACUAAUGUUGAAAAAUUAGCGGAUGACUUGUGGCUGGGGGUGAAAGGCCAAUCAAACCGGGAGAUAGCUGGUUCUCCCCGAAAGCUAUUUAGGUAGCGCCUCGUGAAUUCAUCUCCGGGGGUAGAGCACUGUUUCGGCAAGGGGGUCAUCCCGACUUACCAACCCGAUGCAAACUGCGAAUACCGGAGAAUGUUAUCACGGGAGACACACGGCGGGUGCUAACGUCCGUCGUGAAGAGGGAAACAACCCAGACCGCCAGCUAAGGUCCCAAAGUCAUGGUUAAGUGGGAAACGAUGUGGGAAGGCCCAGACAGCCAGGAUGUUGGCUUAGAAGCAGCCAUCAUUUAAAGAAAGCGUAAUAGCUCACUGGUCGAGUCGGCCUGCGCGGAAGAUGUAACGGGGCUAAACCAUGCACCGAAGCUGCGGCAGCGACACUAUGUGUUGUUGGGUAGGGGAGCGUUCUGUAAGCCUGUGAAGGUGUACUGUGAGGUAUGCUGGAGGUAUCAGAAGUGCGAAUGCUGACAUAAGUAACGAUAAAGCGGGUGAAAAGCCCG
rnacentral:rRNA from 1 species